rnacentral:tRNA from 1 species
GCCUGGGUGGCUCAGUUGGUUGAGCAUCCGACUUCGGCUCGGGUCAUGAUCUCACGGUUCGUGGGUUCAAAUCCCGCGUCGGGCU